ACAGCUUGGAUGUGCUGCUCUUUCAUUCUGGUGUCCUCGGUUUUGGUUCUGUUAUGUGGGAGAUGAUCAGUGGUGACCGUUCUGUGCAGAUUCAUCUUUACUUUCGUUCAAUGGAUUGUUUGUCGUCGUUCUGCUUCAGUUCGCUCAUGUGUGAAUAUAUGUGAUAUACUGAUAUACUGAUAUACUGAUCUGCGAGUGAAUUUUCUCCGAGUGUGGUGCCUGCAGACGGUGGUUGUGGAUAUGUGGUCUUAUUUUCCUUUAUUCACAUUUAUUUUUGUCUGUGCUUCAGUACCUAGUCCGCUACGUUUCUACGUCAUAGUACAUUGUCGUCACUGCUGACAUCACCGCGUGACUUCGAACUAUAUCACUGACCCACUUCAUUCUGUGCUUUUGACCUGUGUAUAUCCAACACCAGGUUAUUGGCAAUUGUUACCCUUUCCGUCCAUCCGUCCAUACUUCCUAUAAUUAAUAACCACCGUACACGUCACAAAAGGGGCGCUUCACACGGGGCGACUCAGACGCGUGUGUUCAGCUGGCAUAGUUUUUACGUUUGUUCACCUGUUUCAGCCCUGUUGGAGGGACUAUUUUUCGUUUUGGAAGUUUUAUGAAAGAUUCAGGAUGCGUGCUGUGUUGCUGCUGGACGGUUUGGUGAUGCUCCUAACUUUGUACUUGGUGAUUUUAAUAACUGGGGUUGUACGAUCUGCUCUGCCUGCUUUCAAACAAUAUGUAACUUGUAAUACCCGUCUUGAUGGUGACCCCGAUCGUUGCUACGGCAACAUUCCAAUGUAUUCAAAUCCAUCAAGCUCCCUCAAAUCGGUCAGUCCGAUCACAACGCUGUACGUCUUAUUCCUGCCUACAGAGUAGAUUAUGCAAACAAACUGAAUGCAUUUCAUUGUCGCUUUGAGAGGGAUGAUGUUGGGGAGGAGUUAUUUAAUGUGAUUUCUGCACUGGAGGAGAGAGUAGGGGAGGAGCAGCAUGGGAGCGAAUUGGAUGACUUUGUGAUUAAGGAAAACGCUGUUUUAUCCCUUUUUAGACCGGUGAAUGUGAGGAACGCAUGUGGCCCUGAUGGUAUUUGUGGAAGAGUGUUGAAAAACUGUGAGACUCAGCUGUCUGGUGUUUUCACUCAGUUGUUCUCUUGGUCUGUAAAAUGUGAGUACUGUACCAAAUAUCUGGAAACAUCCAUCAUUUGUCCUGUUCCUAGAACCAAAAACCUCUAUUGCCAGUUGUCAUACCACGUCAUAUAAUUUCUCCUAGUGAGAUAAUAAAGUUCCAUUGAAUUGAAUUGAAUUGAA